rnacentral:rRNA from 1 species
GAGAAAGGAAAAAAACACCCACGAGCACGACCCCUCCCACAUCUCCACCUCCAGUGCGCCGUCACCCCUGCCACGCUGCUUCGCGCCGCCGGGCGCGGCGACGGCGAUCUCCGGCCAGAUCCGGACGAGGAGGUGAGGCAGUGGCAGGAUCCUGUUCCGGGACGGCGUGGAGGCGAUCUAGGAGGCGCGGGAGGAGGUCCAGCGGAGGGGCUUGAACUCCAAGUUCAUGGCGGCGGUGUUCCUCGCCGGUUCCGAGCGAGAUGGCAAGCUCCGGCGGAGUCUCUCCAUGGAUACGGUGGCGCUGCACCUAUGAGAGAGACAUAUGUGAGGCGAGAGAUAGAAAGGAAGGAGGGGCAGUGA